GGGCCUGUAGCUCAGUUGGUUAGAGCAGCGGACUCAUAAUCCGUUGGUCGACAGUUCAAGUCUGUCUGGGCCCACCA
rnacentral:tRNA from 2 species